rnacentral:rRNA from 1 species
GAUGAACGCUAGCUACAGGCUUAACACAUGCAAGUCGAGGGGCAGCAUGGUCUUAGCUUGCUAAGGCCGAUGGCGACCGGCGCACGGGUGAGUAACACGUAUCCAACCUGCCGUCUACUCUUGGACAGCCUUCUGAAAGGAAGAUUAAUACAAGAUGGCAUCAUGAGUCCGCAUGUUCACAUGAUUAAAGGUAUUCCGGUAGACGAUGGGGAUGCGUUCCAUUAGAUAGUAGGCGGGGUAACGGCCCACCUAGUCUUCGAUGGAUAGGGGUUCUGAGAGGAAGGUCCCCCACAUUGGUACUGAGACACGGUCCAAACUCCUACGGGAGGCAGCAGUGAGGAAUAUUGGUCAAUGGGCGCAGGCCUGAACCAGCCAAGUAGCGUGAAGGAUGACUGCCCUAUGGGUUGUAAACUUCUUUUAUAAAGGAAUAAAGUCGGGUAUGUAUACCCGUUUGCAUGUACUUUAUGAAUAAGGAUCGGCUAACUCCGUG